AAUAAUAAAUAUGUUUAUCCUUAUUAAAAGACGAAAUGUAGAAAAUGUUAUUUUGGGCAGUUAAUCCAAAGGUGUCAAUGUGCAAUUUACAAACAAUGCAAUAAACAGAUAAAUUAAUAAUUCAGUCUGCACUAAUAUACAUCAAACAAAAGUAUUUUAAGUAUGUGUGCUUGUUUAAGUCUUUUUAGUUUUGUAUUUUAUUUUUUAUAAAUAAAUAAGACUUUACAUUAAAUUGUGUUUACAAUUAAAAAAUACGACUAACUAAUACUAAUAUUUAUUGGUGCACUUUCGUUUCUAAAACAAUGACAUAUAUUGCAAUGCACCUUGGAAAUAGUAGUCAUUUAACCUCAACAGCGUUCAAUCCGCUGUGGAAAAUGGACUACCUUUCCCAUAAUGCAACUGGUCAUGAUCAGGAACUUCCGCGAAAUUCAAACCCCCACUGUGUACUGGAUGAAGGACACGCGAUCGUUUGUCUUGUGGAGUUUUAUAUAACACAGUAAGAUGUCAUGUACCACACUUUGUCAACAAUAAAUGUUGUUUCUGCAAUCUGGAUAAAGAAUAAUAUAUUACUGCCUCUUGGAGAACAGCCGGCCGUACUCCAGACAGAGACAAAGACGUGAGGACAUCUAUUGCUUUUAAGUCAUGUAUCACACUUUGUCAACAAUGCAUGUUGUUCUUGCAAUCUGGAUGAAGAAUAAUAUAUUACUGCCUCUUGGGAAAACAGCAGACUGUACUCCAGACAGAGACAAAGACAUGAGGACAUCCAUUGCUUUUAAGUCCUAUACCAGACUAUGUUGUUCCAGCUGUCUGGGUAAAGACUGAUACAUUACUGCCUCUUGGAGAACAGCAAACCAUUCUCCAGACAGAGACAAAGACAUGGACAUCAAAACAGAAAAUUAAGUACUUGAUCUUGGAUUGUUUGGAGUGAACGCUGGAAAAUAAUGAAGCAGGAAAUUAAAAUGCUUGACUAAAACAAUUUUUAGAAAUCCUUCUGGAACUCUGAAAUCUGCAAACAUAUUUUUUCCCAUGUCUUGAAUUGAAUGUUAAAAGUAUCAGUUCUUGGACUGGCAGUGUGUACUAUAUCAUUUUUUCCUUACUCUUAUUCAUUUUAUGUAAAUGUAUUUUCUAACUGUAUUUUAUGAUUUUUUCUGUAGGCUGUAAGAAGUCCUUUGUGUGCACAGACAUGACUGGAGAUUAAAGUUACUAAAUGUUGCUUUUUUUCUAGCUGGUGUCAUAAAUACAUUUGAAAAUAAUACCAUGUUAUCUAAUACACAUUUGCACAUCUGUAAACAUUCAUUUUAUAUAGGAUGUUUUUUAUAUUUAACCAGUUGUUGUAUAUUGCUUUCUGUUAUUACAUCUGGGUUUUUUUGUCUGUUUAUUGUUUAA